GCAGCGCAGUGGUCACGCAUUUGUUUUGCGUGCAGAUGGUUCCAGGUGCGACCCCUGGCUUCUCCA